rnacentral:rRNA from 1 species
CCUACGUGAGGCUGCAGUGGGGGAUAUUGCACAAUGGGGGAAACCCUGAUGCAGCGACGCCGCGUGUGGGAAGACGGUCCUCUGGAUUGUAAACCACUGUCCCCAGGGACGAAGAUGACGGUACCUGGGGAGGAAGCUCCGGCUAACUACGUGCCAGCAGCCGCGGUAAUACGUAGGGAGCGAGCGUUGUCCGGAAUUACUGGGUGUAAAGGGAGCGUAGGCGGGACUGCAAGUUGGGUGUCAAAUCUACCGGCUCAACCGGUAGCCGCACUCAAAACUGCAGUUCUUGAGUGAAGUAGAGGCAGGCGGAAUUCCUAGUGUAGCGGUGAAAUGCGUAGAUAUUAGGAGGAACACCAGUGGCGAAGGCGGCCUGCUGGGCUUUUACUGACGCUGAGGCUCGAAAGUGUGGGGAGCAAACAGGAUUAGAUACCCCGGUAGUC